rnacentral:rRNA from 1 species
CCUACGGGUGGCUGCAGUAGGGAAUAUUGGACAAUGGGCGCAAGCCUGAUCCAGCCAUCCCGCGUGAAGGAUUAAGGCCCUAUGGGUUGUAAACUUCUUUUCUCUGGGAAUAAAAAGCGGGAUUUAUCCUGCCUUGAAGGUAUCAGAGGAAUAAGCACCGGCUAACUCCGUGCCAGCAGCCGCGGUAAUACGGAGGGUGCAAGCGUUAUCCGGAUUCACUGGGUUUAAAGGGAGCGUAGGUGGCUUUGUAAGUCAGUGGUGAAAUGUCGCAGCUU